UAGGGAAUAUUGGACAAUGGGUGAGAGCCUGAUCCAGCCAUGCCGCGUGCAGGAAGAAGGCGUUAUGCGUUGUAAACUGCUUUUUGCCAGGGGAUAAAAAGACCGUGCGCGGUUAAUUGAAGGUACCUGGUGAAUAAGCCACGGCUAACUACGUGCCAGCAGCCGCGGUAAUACGUAGGCGGCAAGCGUUGUCCGGAUUUAUUGGGUUUAAAGGGUGCGUAGGUGGCCCUGUAAGUCAGUGGUGAAAUAUCUCAGCUUAACUGAGAGGGUGCCAUUGAUACUGCAGGGCUUGAGUACAGAUGAGGUAGGCGGAAUUGACGGUGUAGCGGUGAAAUGCAUAGAUAUCGUCAAGAACACCGAUAGCGAAGGCAGCUUACCAAGCUGUAACUGACACUGAGGCACGAAAGUGUGGGGAUCAAACAGGAUUAGAUACCCCCGUAGUCCCUGAGCGGGCUGGCAAGGCGCAU
rnacentral:rRNA from 1 species